rnacentral:rRNA from 1 species
UACGUAGGGUGCAAGCGUUAAUCGGAAUUACUGGGCGUAAAGCGUGCGCAGGCGGUUGUGCAAGACCGAUGUGAAAUCCCCGGGCUUAACCUGGGAAUGGCAUUGGUGACUGCACGGCUAGAGUGUGUCAGAGGGGGGUAGAAUUCCACGUGUAGCAGUGAAAUGCGUAGAGACGUGGAGGAAUACCGAUGGCGAAGGCAGCCCCCUGGGAUAACACUGACGCUCAUGCACGAAAGCGUGGGGAGCAAACAGG